rnacentral:lncRNA from 1 species
CGGGUGCAUUCACCUAUACCUCUAGUCCUGUCUCAACAUACGCCAACUCAGCCCUACGACCUACAUCCUCUCGUCCCUGCUCACACUAACGCCACUCAAGCCCCUGCCUCUCCCCUCACCUCUAGUCCCUGCUCCAUAUCCGCACUCAACGCCACCGCCUCAAUACGUCUAGUCCACCUGCACAUAACUGCCACUCACGCCCCGCCUCACUCCUCUAGUCCCCUGCUCACACUAACGCCACUCAAGCCCCUGCCUCACUCCUCUAGUCCCCUGCUCACACUCAAGCCCCUGCCUCUCCCCUCACUCCUCUAGUCCUCUGCUCACACUAACGCCACUCAAGCCUGCCUGUCUCUCAGGCUGUGUGUGUCCCAAAUGGCACCUGACUCACUACUUUUGACUAGGGCGCAAAGGGCCACCAUAGGCUUGUUAAGCUGGCACUGUGGCGCUCUUGCCAAAAGUAGCGUCCUAUAUAGGGUUCCAUUUGGGAGGCAUCCUUAGUCAAUCUCUCUGGACACAGGUCUUCCACAGAGCCAGCCAGCGGUUUACAGAACGGAGCUCACCCUAACCAACCGCCAUCUCAUCGUCGUGAUGGGAGGUUUUAUGCCGGCUCUUUAUUUUUGACAAGCGCGGGUCUCUGCAACAACACACGCCUCCUUCACGCUAUCUCAAUACUCUCAUCAACUAUAGAUUUUUGGGCUCAUGCAUUUAAAAAAAUAUAUAAAUUCCCCCUAAGCUGCUGAAAUAUAUAUAAAAAUAUAUAUUUUUCAUGUUUAAAAAAAGAAACUGUUUUAGUGUGGGGGAAAACAACCAGGUUCUAUUUUGUAUUAGUAUUUUUUUAUUUUAAAUCAGACAUUACUGUAGUGUGAUUGUGUUUA